GUGGGGAAUCUUGCGCAAUGGGCGAAAGCCUGACGCAGCCAUGCCGCGUGAAUGAUGAAGGUCUUAGGAUUGUAAAAUUCUUUCACCGGGGACGAUAAUGACGGUACCCGGAGAAGAAGCUCCGGCUAACUUCGUGCCAGCAGCCGCGGUAAUACGAAGGGGGCUAGCGUUGCUCGGAAUUACUGGGCGUAAAGGGCGCGUAGGCGGACAGCUUAGUCAGAGGUGAAAGCCCAGGGCUCAACCUUGGAAUUGCCUUUGAUACUGGCUGUCUUGAGUUUGGGAGAGGUGAGUGGAACCCCGAGUGUAGAGGUGAAAUUCGUAGAUAUUCGGAAGAACACCAGUGGCGAAGGCGACUCACUGGCCCAAUACUGACGCUGAGGCGCGAAAGCGUGGGGAGCAAACAGGAUUAGAAACCCGUGUAGUCC
rnacentral:rRNA from 1 species